AUUGAACGCUGGCGGCAUGCCUUACACAUGCAAGUCGAACGGCGGCACGGGUGCUUGCACCUGGUGGCGAGUGGCGAACGGGUGAGUAAUACAUCGGAACGUACCUUAUCGUGGGGGAUAACGCAGCGAAAGCUGUGCUAAUACCGCAUACGCCCUGAGGGGGAAAGCGGGGGGUCGAAAGACCUCGCGCGAUUAGAGCGGCCGAUGCCUGAUUAGCUUGUUGGCGGGGUAAAAGCCCACCAAGGCGACGAUCAGUAGCUGGCCUGAGAGGACGAUCAGCCACACUGGGACUGAGACACGGCCCAGACUCCUACGGGAGGCAGCAGUGGGGAAUUUUGGACAAUGGGGGCAACCCUGAUCCAGCAAUGCCGCGUGAGUGAAGAAGGCCUUCGGGUUGUAAAGCUCUUUUGUCAGGGAAGAAACACCGGCUCUAACACAGUCCGGGAAUGACGGUACCUGAAGAAUAAGCACCGGCUAACUACGUGCCAGCCGCCGCCGUAA
rnacentral:rRNA from 1 species